AAACAAUCUCGAUUCUAAAUUGAAACGAACGCAGCAUUUCAGGGACUGGAUGAGGAGCUUAAGUUUUUUUACAGAAUCAUCAGUAUCUUGGAAGAAAAAGAAUGUUAAGAAAUAACAAAACAAUAAUUAUUAAGUACUUUCUUAAUCUCAUUAAUGGAGCUUUCUUGGUUCUUGGACUUUUAUUCAUGGGAUUUGGUGCGUGGCUCUUAUUAGAUAGAAAUAAUUUUUUAACAGCUUUUGAUGGAGUCUCACUCUGUCACUAGGCUGGAGUGCAGUGGCGCAAUCUUGGCUCACUGCAACCUCUGCCUCCCGGGUUCAAGCGAUUCUCCUGCCUCAGAUUCCGAAGUAGCUGGAAUUACAGUAUGCAGUAUUGAUAACAUGGGCCUUUGCUGUUCAGGUUGUACUUUCAGCAUUCAUCGUCACAAAGAAAGAGGAGGUUCAGCAACUAUGGCAUGACGAAAUUGAUUUUGUCAUUUCUGAGUAUGGAUCUAAAGAUAAGCCUGAAGAUAUAACCAAGUGGACUAUUCUGAAUGCCUUACAGAAAACAUUACAGUGUUGUGGCCAACAUAAUUACACAGACUGGAUAAAGAAUAAGAACAAAGAAAAUUCAGAACAGGUGCCAUGUUCUUGCACAAAGUCAACUUUAAGAAAGUGGUUUUGUAAUGAGCCACUGAAUGCAACUUACCUCGAGGUAAAGAUAAAUCUUGGCUUCUCUAAGUAUUUAUAGUAUUUUGUUUGUUUAUUUUGCAAGUCAAUUUAGAAUUCUGAGCAAAUUUUUAUAUAAAAAUAAUGUUGACGGUGGCUACAUUCUUAAUCCACUUCCCUAAGUUGAACACGUAAUUAGGUAAAUUGUAGUGUUAUUUCCAGUGUAUAAUACAUAAAGUAAAUAAAUUUCCUGGGAGUAUAUGAUUUAUGUAUUCUUGGAACUUGGGAUAUCAUCAGUCUUUCUCCCCAACCUUCCUUGAGAAGUCUUGCAGAAAAAGGAGGCACUUUUGUCAAAGCCUUGGUGCAUAAGAUUGGAAAGGGAGCUAAAACACCAGGAGUAAAAGAAUAGGCAAAAACUAAAGGGAGUGGACCCCAGCAAUGAUGAAUGUGGUGUUCAAGUAAGUGUGGCAGAAGCAAGAGUAAAGGGUUCUCUGGAGCAACUGCGAUUUACAGGUGUGGGAUACUGAUAACUAGAUUUUUCCAUCCCAAGAACUGCUAAUACUUUGUACAGUUUACAUAUUAAGCUUAUUCUCAUCUUAAGAUGUAUUGUUUCAAUUGCAUAAUUAAUUCAUAAAUAAAUGGAACAUUACUUUAAAAAAAAUCUACUCUUUGGGAAAUAACCAUUUUAGGUGGUGGUAUGUACAGUAGUUGCCCCUAUCUGCAGUUUCACGUUGUGAGAGUUCAACCAUUGAAAAUAUUAAGUGGAAAAUUCCAGAAAUAAACAAUUCAUAAGUUUUAAAUUGCACACUGUUCUGGGUAGAAUGAUGAAAUCUUGUGUCUUCCUGCCCUGUCCCUCCUGGGACAUGAGUCAUCCCUUUGUCCAGUGUAUUCAUGCUGCUGAUGCUACCCACUCUUAGUCACUUAGUAGUCAUCUUCAUUAUAAGAUCGACUGUUGAGGUAUCACAGUGCCUGUGUUCAAGAACCCUUAAUUUACUUAAUGAUGACCCCAAAGUGUAAGAAUAGUGAUGCUGGCAUAUUGUUAUAAUUGUUCUAUUUUAUUAUUAGUUAUUGUUUUAAUCUCUUGUUGUGCCUAAUUUAUAAAUUAAACUCUAUUAUAUAUAUGUUUCUAUAGGAAGACAUGUAAUAUAUUUAGGGUUUGAUAUUGUCUGUGUUUUCAGGCCUCCACUGGAGGUAUUGCUGGUGGGUAGGUGGGGAAAUUACUGUAUCCUGAUGAAUUACAAUAGUCUGCAGAAGAGAAAAUCUCUUCCUAAAAUGUAAUAAAUUUCUGAUUUUAAUUACAUGAUAACAUCUUAGCAAUUUUAAAAUUAGCAACUGAGGUGUCCUGCUGCUAUAGAAAGCUUUCUGGACUAAAAGUCCAGUUCGCCAGUUAGAUAUUGACUUACUAUUUAGACUUUGGUAAAUUACUAAUCUCUGUUUACCUUUUAUUUUCUGUAAAGAUUUAUGUAUAAGAUUAUUUCCAUCUCCAUGUCCAUCUGAAUAACUUCUUUUUCUUAGGGUUGUGAAAAUAAAAUCAGUGCAUGGUAUAAUGUUAAUGUGUUAACCUUAAUUGGAAUUAACUUUGGACUUUUAACUUCAGAGGUAAGCUUCUGUUCAUAUGUUAAAAUGAAAAAUAUUAUGUAUAAACUAUACAGAAUAGACUGCAGAGCAAUCAGGUGGAGACCUAAUCAGAUAAGUUCAUAUAAUAGAGCCAGGACUUUGAGGCUCUUUACAUCCAAGAGUUCUAUAGGUGAUUCCUUAAUCAGCCAGGUCGGGGGAGCCUAUUAAUAAGUGGUCAUCCUGGAGGUAGUGAUUUUAUUACUUUGAGAUAUCUAGUACCUAUGUAUAUUUUUAUCUUUCUUUCUUUAUAUACGUAUAGAUAGAUCUAUAGAUGUAUAUAUAUCUUUGUGUGUGUGUGUGUGCAUAUGUGCAUAUAUAUAUAUAUAUAAAUAUAUAUAUAUAUAUAUAUGUUCAUAUAUUGGCAGUAAGAGUACCAUGUUGGGCAGUCUGCAAGUUGCCAGACUUCUGAAAUCUAGGCAGAUGUUUGACUUUAGUAAGAUCCACUAUUCACUCAUAUGUUCAUUCAUUCAAUGUAUUUGGAGGGACGGGGGGCAUUUACUGUGUGUCAUGUACUGUACUAGAUGUUGAAUAUACAAUGAGACGCAAAAUAGACACAUUCCAUGACCUGAAGGCGUCCACUGCAGAAUUAAGUUUCAGAAGCAAGACGCUAUUCUUCAGUCUCAGUGAAGACUAUUAAGAAUAAGUGCAGGCUAUGGAUUCAAAGAAACUGUGAGAGUAAAUAGAGUGUUAUAGUGGGGACUAUGCCACUAAAGCAAAUACUGCGUUUUUUGAGAGAUAGAAUAAGGAUUCUGCAUUUGACUUUGUAUAGAUCCAUGAAGCCCCUGACCUAAGUUUUCAUCUCUUCAAUUGGUAACAAUUUUCGUCUCAGAAUGGUAGUAAACCAAGACAUUCUUUAUACACAUUAAUAUCAUUGUUUUUAAAUGUUUAUUCUCUAUCGUGUUCAUGCUGGAAUAUCUUAAGACAAAACUGCAGAGGUAAUAUCCACGUUCCAUUUUAUCUUCUGCCCUUUACAAGCCACCUUUCAUUAUCUAUAAAAAAAAAAGAAGCAGUUUUGUACAUUUAAUGACAUAGUUAGAAAGAUAUCGAACAACAACAACAAGAAAACCAUCAGCAGUUUGUCCAGGCAUGUAGCUCAGUGAUAGCUAAUGUAAUUAAAACUUAAAGGUUUUUCCUUAUUCUCCUCUAUACAUGAACUUGGUAACAGGUGGGUUAUUCUUGAAGACUCAUUUUGCAGACUUCCUAUUCACAACUGUAUGUACCUUAUUCUGAAAUUUUCUCACCAGUUUUGAUCCCUUUUCCCUUUACAAUACACAUUUUGGUGACUAUAUAGUGUUAACUUUGCAAAUUACUCUUAUCAUUGAUUAAAUUUUGAUCUCUUAUUGUUCCCUUUUCUUCCAGGUUUUCCAAGUCUCAUUAACAGUUUGUUUCUUCAAACACAUCAAGAAUAUAAUCCAUGCAGAAAUGUGACCUUUGGAUUUCAAUGUGUUCAGAAGAAACCAGUUAAUUCUUAAAAAAUCACAUUAUAUUAUUUUAUUCCAAAAACGUUUUGAAUUAUAUUAAAUAACAGAUCUAUUCAAAUUAUUGAUUAUAUGUAAUAUUGAAUUACUGAAUACUAAAAUAAAACAUUCAUGAAAUU
rnacentral:sRNA from 1 species